UACGUAGGGUGCAAGCGUUGUCCGGAAUUAUUGGGCGUAAAGAGGCUCGUAGGCGGUCUGUUACGUCGGCUGUGAAAACCUGGGGCUCAACCCCGGGCCUGCAACCGAUACGGGCAGACUAGAGUUCGGCGGGGACGACUGGAAUUCCUGGUGUAGCGGUGAAAUGCGCAGAUAUCAGGAGGAACACCGGUGGCGAAGGCGGGUGCUGGGCUGACACUGACGGCUGAGGCGC
rnacentral:rRNA from 1 species